CCAGGAUUGGGGGUGCUAUGUGGGCUGUGAGGGGUGGGAGGAGGCCACAUGAAUCCUGGUGACCAGGGUAGGGGAUGUGCCCCCCCAUCCCAGAUGCCUGGGUCCACCCAGAGCUUCCCCCUGGGACGGGGUUGCUGUGUGAGCCCUGGGAGUAUCUGGGGGGCAGGGAGGAUGCAGUGCGUGCCGUGGGGAGAGGGUGGCACAGACACUGGUGUCCAGGUGCCGACACACUCACUCUGGGAUUGGGUGGUGGCAAGGACCCCAGUAAUGGGGCUGGAGCAGUGCAGGCUCUGGGGCUGGGUCAGACCUCGGGGUGGGCACCAUAUAGACGUGGGGGUGUGAGGUGCCCUGUAGACACAGGCACCUCUGCUGGGGGGAGGGGCCAGGCGCACAGCCCCAGUGGCCAGGGACAGAGGAUGGCCCAGACACCGGCGUGGGGGGAAUCUCAUUGGCCUUGGCAUCUGGGGGCAUCAUCUGACUUCCAGCUGAACAGGGGGGUGUGUACCUGGGGCGAGGGAGAUAAUGUGAUGCUGCUUGAUUUGUUUUCUGGGAGGGUCCAAAUCCAAGUCCCUCCCCAGCCCUGUGUGUCCCCUAGGGGUGAGAUGGGGGGCAGCAGGGCCGCCCCUUCCUUUGGAAAGGGGAGCUUAAGGAAAUUAAUCCUCUGGGCCACAUCAUGGGUUGGUUUGGAGAAGAUGGGGAGAAAAGCCCCUGCCCUUUGGACCACAUGGGGGGCUAUAUGGGGGGUUACCCAGAAUCCUUUGCUUCUUGGACCAGGUUUUAUUUGGGCAGAUUACUCAGAAUUCUCCCCCACAAUCCACCCUGUGUGACCCCCAAACCAGAGCAGCUAUCCAGGCUAGUUCCAUAUGGGGUGGCUGCCCUGACUCCCCCACCACACUAGGGACCAAAGGGGCAUUGAGCGGGGCUAAUCAAGACACUACUAGGCGACAGUUCCCCAACAGAGGUUAUUUUGGAGGGGACUGGGGGUGAUUCUGGGGUGCAGGGACUUUAGUGAUGGAGGAGACAAGCAGACCCAGCUGGGG
rnacentral:lncRNA from 1 species